rnacentral:piRNA from 1 species
UGGAAAAUUAAAAUACAAACCAGACUGGCUG